UCCGGUUGAUCCUGCCAGAGGCUACUGCUAUCGGGGUCCGACUAAGCCAUGCGAGUUGAGAGGGGUAAGCUCUCGGCAUAUUGCUCAGUAACACGCGGAUAACCUGCCCUUGGGUUUGGGAUAACCCCGGGAAACUGGGACUAAUACCGGAUAGAUCAAAGAUACUGGAAUGUUCUUUGUUCGAAAGCUCCGGCGCCCAAGGAUGGGUCUGCGGCCUAUCAGGUAGUAGUGGGUGUAACGUACCUACUAGCCUACGACGGGUAAGGGUUGUGAGAGCAAGAGCCCUGAGAUGGAUUCUGAGACAUGAAUCCAGGCCCUACGGGGUGCAGCAGGCGCGAAAACUUUACACUGCGGGAAACCGCGAUAAGGGGACCCCGAGUGCCAGCACCUAGUGCUGGCUGUCCAGCUGUUCAAAAAACAGUUGUUAGCAAGGGCCGGGCAAGACCGGUGCCAGCCGCCGCGGUAACACCGGCGGCCCGAGUGGUAGCCGUUAUUAUUGGGUUUAAAGGGUCCGUAGCCGGCCUAUUAAGUCUCUUGGGAAAUCUGGCGACUCAAUCGUCAGGCGUUCAAGAGAUACUGGUAGGCUUGGGACCGGGAGAGGUGGGAGGUACUCCAGGGGUAGGGGUGAAAUCUCGUAAUCCUUGGGGGACCACCGAUGGCGAAGGCAUCCCACCAGAACGGGUCCGACGGUGAGGGACGAAAGCUGGGGGCACGAACCGGAUUAGAUACCCGGGUAGUCCCAGCUGUAAACGAUGCUCGCUAGGUGUCAGGUGCGGUGCGACCGCAUCUGGUGCCGUAGUGAAAACUUGAAGCGAGUCACCUGGGAAGUACGGUCGCAAGGCUGAAACUUAAAGGAAUUGGCGG
rnacentral:rRNA from 1 species